rnacentral:rRNA from 1 species
GACGAACGCUGGCGGCGUGCCUAAUACAUGCAAGUCGAACGCUUCUUUCCUCCCGAGUGCUUGCACUCAAUUGGAAAGAGGAGUGGCGGACGGGUGAGUAACACGUGGGUAACCUACCCAUCAGAGGGGGAUAACACUUGGAAACAGGUGCUAAUACCGCAUAACAGUUUAUGCCGCAUGGCAUAAGAGUGAAAGGCGCUUUCGGGUGUCGCUGAUGGAUGGACCCGCGGUGCAUUAGCUAGUUGGUGAGGUAACGGCUCACCAAGGCCACGAUGCAUAGCCGACCUGAGAGGGUGAUCGGCCACACUGGGACUGAGACACGGCCCAGACUCCUACGGGAGGCAGCAGUAGGGAAUCUUCGGCAAUGGACGAAAGUCUGACCGAGCAACGCCGCGUGAGUGAAGAAGGUUUUCGGAUCGUAAAACUCUGUUGUUAGAGAAGAACAAGGACGUUGGUAACUGAACGUCCCCUGACGGUAUCUAACCAGAAAGCCACGGCUAACUACGUG